AAAGACCCGAGCUAACAUGGGGUUAGCUCGUUAAAUUACAAUAAAGCCUCGUGCAGUUUGCAGCAAGCUCUCGAAUCCGCCUGGUGAUUGGGGUGACCGCGAACCUGGCCUGAGACCCCGGAUACUUUCGGGGGUCUAACACUUUCUGUUUUGAGAAAAAGCAGAUUGAGGCACCCUCCCAUACCUAGAGUCAAGAAAGAGAUGCAGGACAGCCUCCAGAGGAACAAGACUUCCUAGAGGAUGAGUAUCCUAAAACCAGGAGCAUUUUCAGCAACUCCUUGAUGAGUGUAAAUGUUGACAACUACAGCAUAAAAGAAGCCGCUCCCACCCUUAACAGGCCCACAGUGCAUGUAGAGAGUAAUCAGGAAACUCAUCACAUUCCAAGAAGGGUAGGCAAAAUAGAAUAGUGUUCCUCUCGCUCCUCCCAAAGGCAUAAAUGACCUAACCCUAAUAACCUGUGAAAAUGUUACCUUCACAGGGAACUAAAGUUGCAGAUGGAACUAAGGUCACUAAUCAGCUGACUUUGAAGUGGGGCUAUUCCGGUGGGCCCAAUGAUGUAUUGCAAAGAGCCUUUAAAGUAGAAGAGGCUGGCAGACAGGGUCAGAGUGUUGCAAUAGGUAAAGAAUCCAACCUUCCAUUGCUGCCUUUGAAGAGGGAGGAAGGCACCAUUAGUCAAGGAAUGCCAUCAGCUAGCAGGAGCUGGAGAGAUCAAGGGAAUGCCUUCACCCAGAGGCCCUGAAGAAAGGAAACCCUGAUGAUGAAUGUCUCCAGUUCAGUCCAGGGAAACCCUUCUGGACUUCUGAUCUCACAGCUGUAUGAUGAUGAAUUUGUGUUGUUCUAAGUUACUAAAUUUGUUUUAACUUGUUAUAGCAAUUGCCAAUAACAAAAUAUAAAAAACAUUUAAUAAGUAUUACAUUUAUAAUAUUCAUACAAUACUUUUAUCUCAUGCUAUUUCAGUUCUCCAAUGAAACAUUGGAUCUUUUUGUAUUUUUCCAAAUGAUCCAGAGAAAAUUGAGAGCCCUUUCCUCCUCUACCCAUUCAUUGAACACCAAAUUGAAAAGAAAAAAGAAACACUGUCAAGAUAUAUUCUCUUUUUUAAGCCUUAGGAAAAGAGAGGUCUCACUCCUGAGGAGCAGUGUGAAGUUUCUCCCUCUUCUGGUUUUGACAAAAAUUGAACCAAUUCACUGUACUUAUAUCUUUAGAAACCGUGAGCAUAAAGUGCCCAAAGGCAUACACUCCCAGCCCAACCACAGACCACACCUACCAGAAGACCAGUCUUCAACUCAGAUCAGAAGUCACACAGGCCACCAGAACUCCAGACACCAACUGCUCAACUGA
ensembl:lincRNA